AAUCUCACCACCCAGCAAUGAGGUAUUUUACUGCUGUCUGGAGAUCAGAUUAUUACUGUAGAGAAGAUUUUUAUUUUUUGUUUCAUUAACAGAUUAUUAUAAAGCAAAAAGCAUGCAGAAAAAGAACCAGACGUUUUACAUUGGGAAUUAAUGAAAGCGUGUCUGCUAGUUUUGGGUAGGAGAACUGGGAAGUUGUUGCUUAAAAUUUUAUAUCACCUCCACAAACAAAACUCUUCGGAAAUGGUAAAAUAAGAAAAUGCAUGAUUCUAGAGGCAUUCCUAAGCACCCACGUGUCAGGCUUUGUGGUGUCUGUGGUAUCAUCCGACCUUUUGGACUGGUGGCUUACUGAGAGCUCCAUUUCUGGAAAGCCUUACAAGACUGAGGAAUAUCAGACUGCGAAUCACCGGGAACGGUUCCUUUGCAGCACAGAAGCAAUCUCUCUCCCCAUCUUCGCAUAUUCUGAUGGCAAAACAAGUGGAAGAAAAGAGGAAGCAUGACUGCAGAUCAGAUCAGUUCUCUUUGUGGAUUAUAUUUUCAGUAAAAUGUAUGGAUCUAUCUUUUCCUUGUUCUUAUAUCUAGAUCAUGAGACUUGACUGAGGCUGUAUCCUUAUCCUC
rnacentral:sRNA from 1 species